GACGAACCGUGCGAACGUUGUUCGGAAUCACUGGGCUUAAAGGGCGCGUAGGCGGCUCCUCAAGUCGGGGGUGAAAUCUUUCGGCUUAACCGGAAAAGUGCCUCCGAUACUGGGGAGCUCGAGGGAGGUAGGGGCGGACGGAACUUCCGGUGGAGCGGUGAAAUGCGUUGAUAUCGGAAGGAACGCCGGUGGCGAAAGCGGUCCGCUGGCCCUCCACUGACGCUGAGGCGCGAAAGCCAGGGGAGCAAACGGG
rnacentral:rRNA from 1 species